rnacentral:rRNA from 1 species
GAUCCUGGCUCAGAUUGAACGCUGGCGGCAUGCCUUACACAUGCAAGUCGAACGGCAGCAUGGAGAGCUUGCUCUCUGAUGGCGAGUGGCGAACGGGUGAGUAAUACAUCGGAACGUGUCCGUUUGUGGGGGACAACCGUCCGAAAGGAUGGCUAAUACCGCAUAAGACCUGAGGGUGAAAGCCGGGGACCGCAAGGCCCGGCGCAGACGGAGCGGCCGAUGAUUGAUUAGUUAGUUGGGG